rnacentral:rRNA from 1 species
UACGAAGGGGGCUAGCGUUGCUCGGAAUCACUGGGCGUAAAGCGCACGUAGGCGGGUCUUUAAGUCAGGGGGGAAAUCCUGGAGCUCAACUCCAGAACUGCCUUUGAUACUGAGGAUCUCGAGUCCGGGAGAGGUGAGUGGAACUCCGAGUGUAGAGGUGAAAUUCGUAGAUAUUCGGAAGAACACCAGUGGCGAAGGCGGCUCACUGGUCCGGUACUGACGCUGAGGUGCGAAAGCGUGGGGAGCAAACAGG